ACUGUCUGACAAGUCAGCUUCCUCCACCCGACCCGCCACCCAAACCCUUCUCUUCGUCUUCUCUCUCUUUUUUUUUUUUAAUUUAAUUUUUUUAACAGGCUUAAGGCAACCAUAUAAAGGGACACGUAAGCAAAAAAGCGUCCAAAAAAGAACUUACUCAGACAGCUGACUCUGUGGCGGAGGUGAAACCCCGAUGGCUUCUCACCCAAUGAGAAUCCCCAUCUCUCCGUUCACUCAUCUUCUCAUUUGCCACGUGUCCUCUUCACCCUCCUCUCAUUUUAUUUAUUUAUUUAUUAUUAUUUGCUUUGCUUCUUCCUCUGGCUCUUUUCAUCUUCUUCACUCUCAAAUUCUCUCUUCCUUUUUUCUCAAUCGCCAUGAGAAUUAGGGUUAGGGUUUGAAAGUCACCCUCUUUUCAAGGAGAUCGUGUAACGGUAGCUCUGCCAAUGGCGAGUGCUUCUCUACCUCUGCCCAAUUUCACCUUUCUACCUCCCGAAACCACUCCUAAACUCCGGCUUUCUCUCUCUAGAUUUUCUCUCUCUAGAAGGAUUACGACUGGUGCUAGUCUUCGGGGACGGGUUAGGGCUGUUCAGGGGGAUGGCGUGGUGGUAGAGGAUAGGGAGAGUGAAUUGCUCAGUGGAGGGAAUGGUGCUGCUAACUUGAACGGGAAUGGCGGUUACGGUUAUAAUGGGUCGGUUGAGGGGUACACGAACGGUGCGAGUAAUGGGAGCUUGCCGAAGUACGUUAAUGGGAAUGGCGCUGCUGCUGUGACGGUUGUUGAGGAAGUUUAUGAGGUGAAGACGGAGGUUGAUGGGGUGGAGAAGAAGACGAUAGAAGAGAUUGGACAAGAGGAGGCGUGGUUUAAGCGAAGUGGGCAAGGACAGAUUGAAGUCUCUGUUGCACCUGGGGGCCGAUGGAAUAGAUUCAAGACCUAUUCUACCAUACAAAGAACUUUGGAAAUUUGGGGAUUUGUGCUAACAUUUAUCACAAAGGCUUGGUUGAACAAUCAGAAAUUCUCUUAUCGAGGAGGAAUGACAGAGGAAAAGAAAGUUGUAAGGAGAAAAGCCCUAGCCAAGUGGUUAAAGGAAAGCAUUUUAAGACUAGGUCCAACAUUCAUCAAAAUUGGCCAACAGUUUUCCACAAGGGUGGACAUUCUUGCUCAAGAAUAUGUUGAUCAGUUAUCAGAACUUCAGGAUCAAGUUCCUCCUUUUCCAUCAGAGACUGCUAUAUCUAUUGUUGAGGAAGAGCUUGGAGCUCCUGUGGGUGAUAUAUUUGAUCAAUUUGACUACGAACCAAUAGCUGCUGCUAGUCUUGGCCAGGUCCACCGUGCAAGGUUGAAGGGGCAAGAGGUUGUUGUUAAAGUACAAAGGCCUGGCCUGAAGGAUCUCUUUGAUAUUGAUCUGAAAAACCUAAGGGUGAUUGCAGAAUAUCUUCAAAAGAUUGACCCAAAGUCUGAUGGCGCAAAGAGGGAUUGGGUAGCUAUUUAUGAUGAGUGUGCUAAUGUUUUAUAUCAGGAGAUUGAUUACACCAAGGAAGCUGCUAAUGCAGAACUGUUUGCAAGUAACUUCAAAGACAUGGAUUAUGUAAAAGUUCCAACUAUAUACUGGGAAUAUACGACACCACAGGUUCUGACAAUGGAGUAUGUCCCGGGGAUCAAAAUAAACAGGAUACAAGCUUUAGAUCAGUUAGGGGUUGAUCGCAAAAGGUUGGGUAGAUAUGCUGUUGAAUCUUAUUUGGAACAGAUACUGUCUCAUGGUUUUUUCCAUGCUGACCCACAUCCUGGAAAUAUUGCUGUGGAUGAUGUGAAUGGUGGAAGGCUAAUCUUUUAUGAUUUUGGAAUGAUGGGAAGUAUCAGUUCAAACAUCAGGGAAGGUUUGCUGGAAUCAUUCUAUGGAAUUUAUGAGAAGGAUCCGGAUAAGGUUGUUCAAGCAAUGAUCCAAAUGGGUGUUCUUGUACCUACUGGAGAUAUGACAGCUGUCAGGCGAACAGCACAGUUCUUCCUUAAUAGUUUUGAAGAGCGUCUUGCAGCACAAAGAAAGGAGAGAGAGAUGGCAACACAAGAACUUGGAUUUAAAAAGCCAUUAAGCAAGGAGGAAAAAAUAGAGAAGAAGAAACAACGUCUGGCUGCAAUUGGGGAAGAUUUAUUAGCUAUUGCAGCAGAUCAACCCUUUAGAUUUCCUGCUACAUUCACCUUUGUUGUAAGAGCAUUUUCAGUACUGGAUGGCAUUGGGAAGGGUCUUGACCCUCGAUUUGAUAUUACUGAGAUUGCCAAACCCUAUGCAUUGGAGUUGCUAAAAUUCCGUGAAGCUGGUGUUGAAGUUAUCUUAAAGGACUUCAGAAAGAGAUGGGACCGGCAGGCCCGUGCAUUCUACAACUUAUUUAGACAGGCAGAUAGAGUUGAAAAGCUUGCUGAGAUUAUCCAAAGAUUGGAGAAAGGUGAUUUGAAGCUUCGAGUUCGAGCUUUGGAGUCUGAGAGGGCUUUCCAACGGGUUGCAGCUGUUCAGAAGACAGUGGGAAAUGCAGUAGCUGCAGGGAGCCUAAUAAACCUAGCAACAAUUUUAUAUCUCAAUUCAAUCCGGGUGCCUGCCAUUGCAGCAUAUGUCUUCUGUGCGUUUUUUGGCUUUCAAGUUCUCUUUGGCAUUAUAAAGGUCAAAAAAUUAGACCAAAGAGAAAGGCUGAUUACAGGAACUGCAUGAAAAGUUUUAAUGAAGUUGACAAGUAGCACCGGUGAAUUUAAAAUUCUUUGAUAUAUAUUAUAGUUGCGCCAAGAACAGUAAGGGUUCUGUAAUUGGUGUAUCAACUUCUUACUUGGUAUGUGUAAUGCUCCAUGGACCAGAGGGAUUCUGCAAUUCAUGUAUCAAUGUCUGACUAGAUCUAGAGUGGAGAUGUAAUUCAUAUGGCUUUCUUACUUGCACCUUCCAACUAUUGAAAGAAGUGGAAGAGCUUGAGAAAUGUUUUAAGUGACGUUCUUCCAGAGUCAAUGUGGGCAAAAGCUUCUGAGAAAUGUUUUAAGUUCUUCCAGAGUCAAUAUGGGCAAAAGCUUCCAGCUUGCAGAUUUAUGGUGAAGAUGUCUCAGGAGUGAACACUAGGGCCACAUUCUUGCCAAGAAAGUAAGAUCUUAUAAUGUUCAUUUGCUAAUUUAAACUUGCUAUUUAAGUUGGCCAGAACCAUUUUGUACUUUUUCCCCACGAUAUUGUUCCCCAAAUGAGUUAGUCCCUUGAUGUUGUAUCUUUGUUGGCUAGUUGAUCACAAUAUGUGAUGGCUUUCAGCCCUAAUGUAAAUUUUUCUUUGUAAAAGUCCUAUGGUUGAUAUUGGCAUUUUUGUAGCCUCCCUACCUACUUCAUUGAGGUGUGAUGUAUCCAUGUGUAUAAUAUAACUCAUACAAGUCCUGUUUCUAAAUCCAGAAUUAGCUUUCCCCCA